UCCCGAAGCGGUAGCUGCGAGCCUUGCGAAAGCGUUUGGCGGUAGCUCAAUUUCAAGGCCUUUUAAAAUGAGACCUGUAUCCGUUCAAAAGGCUUCAGAGAGGGAAGCUAGAAAGUCACGGAGUAUGAAAAUGGGGAAGCCCCCUUCAAGAAUAUCUCCAUGAAACUCCGCUGAUGCUUCAGGACUAUGGCGCUUUAUGGUUCCUUUGCUUGGAAAACCCAUUCCUUAGAAACUCACGUAGACUCAGUUCCUUAUCUUUCAAUGCUGCCUCCUCAAGGAAGCAUUCCCCUGGACCUCCAAUAUAAGAGAGGAGUUCCAUUUCUUCUUUGUCCUCCUCCUGCUGUAUUUCUCUCCAGAACACAACACUGUACCACUGUUCUUCACCCUAAGAACAGACGAGGACAUCAAGACUCAGAGAAGCCUGUAAGUUGUCUCAAAUCACACUUGCUACUAAAUGGUAAGCAACAGAACCUGUCUGGAAAGAGG